UACAUAAUAGUAGAAAGUAGGUGGAUUGU
rnacentral:piRNA from 1 species